rnacentral:rRNA from 1 species
CCUACGGGGUGCAGCAGUGAGGAAUAUUGGUCAAUGGACGAAAGUCUGAACCAGCCAUGCCGCGUGCAGGAAGACGGCUCUAUGAGUUGUAAACUGCUUUUGUACAAGGGUAAACCUGAAUACGUGUAUUCAGCUGAAAGUACUGUACGAAUAAGGAUCGGCUAACUCCGUGCCAGCAGCCGCGGUAAUACGGAGGAUCCAAGCGUUAUCCGGAUUUAUUGGGUUUAAAGGGUGCGUAGGCGGAUUGAUAAGUUAGAGGUGAAAUGUCCGGGCUCAACUCGGGAACUGCCUCUAAUACUGUUGAUCUAGAGAGUAGAUGCGGUAGGCGGAAUGUAUGGUGUAGCGGUGAAAUGCUUAGAGAUCAUACAGAACACCGAUUGCGAAGGCAGCUUACCAAUCUAUAUCUGACGUUGAGGCACGAAAGCGUGGGGAGUAAACAGGAUUAGAUACCCGAGUAGUC